rnacentral:rRNA from 1 species
UGCCAGCAGCCGCGGUAAUACGGAGGGGGCAAGCGUUAUUCGGAAUUACUGGGCGUAAGGCGCACGUAGGCGGCAGGGCAAGUCGUAGGUGAAAGCCCUCAGCUCAACUGAGGAACUGCCUUUGAAACUGCCCUGCUUGAGUCCGGGAGAGGAGAGCGGAAUUCCCAGUGUAGCGGUGAAAUGCGUAGAUACUGGGAGGAACACCGGUGGCGAAGGCGGCUCUCUGGACCGGCACUGACGCUGAGGUGCGAAAGCGUGGGUAGCAAACAGGAUUAGAUA